UGACGCAGCCCCGCGCAGGGGAACGGGCCCCCGGGAGCGCGGAGGCGGUGAGCUCAGGACUCAGCUUCCCCUGUGGCCGGCUUUGCAGGGUGGUGGGGGUUGAGCAUUGACGGGUGGGAGGCGGCAAGGGCAAGAGGGGCGCGGGGGCUGGAUCUCGCGGAUUCCGGCACCUGGUCCUCCCGUCGCGGUGGGCGGGUGGGGAGAGGGCGCUUAGGGAGGAUGGAGACCUGGUGGCGCACUCUCCAGCCCCUGUGCCCUUCCCGGAGCUGAGAAAAUUUGGUACAACACCGAGGUAACAAGAAGGGGUACCUGAGAGGUCACGGGAGGGAGUACAGUUUAGGGGGAGCCCCGACAACCUGGAGCGGAGGAGAAGGUGAAGAUAGGCCAGGUGUUUGCAGGGUGACGCGCGGGAUGCUCACGAGACUGGACCCCAAGAUUUUGUCUCCAGGCUUUUCUGUGGGGGUAGCAUGCCGGGAGGAGGACGGGGCUGAGUAAGAUCAAGGACAGGCAGACCAGAGUGCGGAUGGAGGUGGAUCCCCCCAUGCUGGGCCCCAUGGCCUCUCUGACCAUUCAGGAGGUAGUCAGAGGGAAGGGGGUGGCAUGGGGCACCCCAAAGAGAAGCGUGUGUUCCACCUUCUGCUCUGAAGAAGUAGAGCUCCUGGGACAUCCUGGGACUGAGCUGGGGUUUUGGUUUUAGAAGCUACUUGUUAAAUGUUUUAACCUAUGCUCACUAACCCAUCCCCGAGGAUCUCCUGCCUGGCGAAGGGCUCACAGUGGCUGUCCCCCAACUGCUUCCUAUUUGCAGCUGGAGGUUCUGGCUGGGUGGCACUUUGGGGGAUGGGGAGGCCUGGGUACCAUGGAACCAUGCUGGGCCAGACCACACCAGGUGAUGGGCACCUCCUCACCUUGUUCUUCCAGAAGGAGGGCUGGGGAACUCACCUGGACUGCCUACCUCUGGCUGUCCUCCAGAGCAAGUGUGGCAAGGCCCCAGGCCCUGCUGGGUGUGCGAGGUCCCUGUACCACCUGCCUCCAUGGGACGGCAGGCCCUGGAGCUCAGAUGCCAGUGCAGCCACAUCUGGGGUGGGUGGAAGAAGUCCAGGAGGGUCUGGGCUGCAUCUGGGAGAAUCCGAGGGCUUAAAGGAGGCUGGUGUGCCAGAGGAGGUGAAGGUAGAAAAGUAUGAGGGUUCAGGCCCAAAGUGACACAGCCGAUGCUGACUUCUGAGCACCUGUUGGGAAGGGCACAGCACUCUGCAUACAGUCUCAUCCUGGAGUGCUCACUCCAGCCAGCCUGGGGCAGAUGCCACCCACCUGGAGCUGCCCCAUAGCCUGAGCUCUUAACCACUGCUUCAGACUGCUGGCUACUAGCCUGGGGGCAGGCAUGGCAGGUAGGCACUGAGGUGGGAUUGUGCUUGGGGAGAAAGGUGCAGGGUGCCUGGACCCAGGGGUUGCAGAGCCAGCGAGGCUCCGAGAGUAGCUGCAUGCUGCCAGGGAAGGCAGAAGCAGCCUCAGCUUGCCCUUGGCCAGGCGCUGUUCCCCAUCCAUCUGCCCCUAUUCUGUUCUUGCCCCCCCCCACCACCACCACUAGGCAGACUGUUCCAGUACUACUUGGCUCAGCUCGGGGCCCGCAGCGAUCCCACUAUGUUCUUGAGCUCCAGGCACACGCCGCAGCCUCCACCUUGAGGACCAUCAUGUUCUCGUUACCCUGAGUGGCUUUUCGACUACCCACCUGGGAAAGUGCUUCCUAAGGACAGAGCUGUGGUUCUUACCUGGGCUCUCUAGUGCCCAGCAUCCAUACCUGUGGGCAGGUGCACUCUGUAGAACUAAAAAUCUGAGCGUCACUGGGGAUUCUCAUGAGGUCAUGCCAGUGAAGGCAGAGAGGCAAGGUGAUUGGGAGUGCGUGUUUCUCCUGCCUUCUGAGUUCCUUGGUACCUGCAGACCCUGGGCUGGAGAUGACUCCUCUGUGUCUGACUCAACCCGUUGUUACAUUCCCUCCCCACACAUUUGUGAGACUCAGGAGAGGAUGGCUGGGCAGAUGUUAGUAGAAGGGAGGGGUGUGACCUUCACAAGGUCACCGUUUACAUUUAGUUCUUGGGAUGCUCAGUGGUCUCAUCUGUAAACUGGGAUGAUGCCUGUUUCAUAGAGCUAUUUCAGGACCAAGGGAGAUGGGGAAUACAAACAGAUUUUCUCACAUGCCUGGGAGGUGCUGGCUGUCUGAAAAUGAGAGAUAUGAGGUGUGCCCUGUUCACCUGUUCACACACAGGAAGAUCAGAAAUGAAGACAGGGUGGCGCCCAAGUGUGACCGGGGGCAUCUGGUGUUGAUUUGGGUGGCAUGAGGAUUGAACCCCCACUUCCUUGCAGGUAUCCUUCACCCAGUGGUAGUCCUCAUAUCAUGCCCCCUCUACAUCUGGACCUCAACCAGAGCAAUUCUCAGAAAUGUAAUAGUCCACUGGACACUCACCUUCACCACUCAGUGCUGCCUUGGUGCUGCCUUGACCGAGUGCUUGGUUUCACCACACCCACUGAGUGCCUGCAGGGUUGGUAUGCAAAGAUCACACAGCGCCUGGGCUGUCUUAACAAAGUUCUACAAGCUGGGGGGCUUGUGAGAUCAGAAAUCGAUUCUCUCACAGUACUGGCAGCCCCAAGUCUGAAUUCAGGGUGUUGGCAGGGCCUUGCACUCUGACAGCUCUAGGGGAAGAUCCUUCUUGUCUCUCCAGGUUUCUGGUAGCCCCAGGCAUUCCUUAGCGUGUUGAUGCAUCACGCCAACCUCUGCUUCUGACUUCAUGUGGCCAUCUCCCCUCUGUGUCUGUGUAUACGCGGUAUAACUCCGUCAUCUUGUGGCCGUUUUCCUUCUGUCUUCAGUCUCCUCUUUUAUAAGAACAUCAGUCAUGUAGUACCCACAUUGACCUAACUGAUCACAUCUGCAAAGACCUUAUUUCCAAACAAGGUCUUGUUCACAGGUACAGGGGUUAAGGCUUGAACGCAUCUUUUUGGGGAGCACAAUUUAAUCUAUAACAGUGUUCCAGGGUACCAUGUUGGCUCUUUGCUCUCCUACCUGGGCAUGUCGGAGCCCUGCUAGAGCUGGGAGAAGCAGUGAGAUGGGUGGGGUGUCUGAGAUGGUUCGGAUGGCCGGGCUGACCUGUCAAGCUUGGACCAGCUUUGGUGAGCCCAGGAUGGGCUGGGGUGGACAGAGCCUGGAGAUGGCCUUGGUGCCCUAGCACCUGCCAGCCUCCAGCAGCAACUCCAAGGGGAUGCAUCCCCAAGCCUAGAGCUGCUCCUGGCAAGGGGCAUAUUCUUGGUUUGGAGAAAAUCCUAGCUCCUUAGAGCUUGGGGCUCUGGAGGCAUGCUCCUUCACACGGCUGAGUAGGAAGAACUUAGAAAUGGGGCAGGUCAUAGGCUCUGGCUGUGGCCCAAAGAUCUGUCCCUAUGCUACCAAGAGUGAGCCUAGGAAGUGCCCAGGGGAUGGCAUGGUGGGGCUGGAAAGGGCACAGAGGGGCUGACCUGGGCUUCAGGGGGUGGUACCACGAAGUAGAUGUCUGCUCUUCCUGGAAUCCACGCAGGGAUUCUGAACUGGCCUAAGCCUCUUUUACAAAACAAGCCCAAUUCCUGUUGGCAGUGAAAUGGUGCUGAGGUUCAUAAUGUGCCAGAAUUCUCAGCCCUUUGUGCCUGGCACAAUGAGUGUCCUGUUCCUGAGAAGCUACCCGUUAUGAGCUUGACCAUAGAUCAGCCCUGACUGGAGCUUGGGUGUCAGGCCACCGUGGGUCUCAGCCACCUUCCCUCGUCAGAGAACAGCGUUAACACAAAAGAGAAAGGAGCUGAACCUUGGCCCUGUUGCUGGAUUUUGUUUCCAGGCUCAAGUCCAAAGAACUUUUUAGUGUUCAAGGCAAGUGGAAUAGUGUGAUCAGCAACAGCAGGAGGCGAAGGGAUUCAGACAGAAUGUGCUGGUGUUUGCCGAGCAACACCAAGGGUCCUUGUGUCCCUUGUCUGUCCCUGCCCACCUCCGCAGGACAAGGGGUGCAGGGAGGGGAGGAGGCCAAGGACAGACAGUCCACACGAUGCAGUGCAGAUGUGGUAGAUGCCUCCCUGUGCCGAGCUGGGACUUCCCACUGCCCUGUUUAAUUCUAGGUGGUAGAAAAAGAGAAGUGAAGGAGUGGGAUGAGGUGGGGUGUGGCCUGUGCCCUGGUACCACCCCCAAACGCAAGUGGAGUCAGUUCCUCUUGGAUAUAGGGAACCAAAACUUCUUCUAGGGCGGGGAGCCCCUCUGUGUGGAUCCUUGGAAUGUCUGCCUGACACGUGGGUGUAGUCGCUUCUCCUGUGUUUCUGUAGGCCAAGCUCUGGGUGGAGAUCCUGAAAUCCCCGGGGCAGCCCCACAACUUAACUCUGCACUGUUGAUUUCCCUUUUCGUAAAAAGAUGGUACAUGAGGCUUAGGGUUAUGUCAUGGUUUCUUGGGGCCACUGUCACAAAGUACCACAAAUUAGUGCCUUACAGCAGCAGAGAUUUAUUCUAAGUUCUGGAGGCCAGAAGUCUGAAAUCAAGGUGUCGUCAGAGCUCUGCUGUCCCUGGAGUCUCUAGGGGAGGACCAUUCCUUGCCUCUCUCAGAUUCUAGUGGCCCCAAACAUUCUUUGGCUUGUGGCCUCAUCACUCCCAUCUCUGCCUCUGUCUUCACCUGGUCUUCUUCAUUGUGUCUUCUCCUUUUCUAUGUCUUACAAGGACACCUGUCAUUGAAUUUAGGGCCCAUCCUGGUGGUGCAGUGGAUAAGAGCUUGGCUGCUAACCAAAAGCUUAGCAGUUCGAAUCCACUAGCUGCUCCUUGGAAACCCUGUGGAGCAGUUCUGCUCUGUCCUAUAGGGUUGCUAUGAGUCGGAAUCAACUCAAUGGCACCUAAAAACAACAACAACAUAGGGUCGCUAUGAGUCAGAACUGAUUCAAUGGCAAUGGGUUUGGUUUUUGGGUGAUCCAGGAUGAUCUCUUUUAGAGAUCCUGACUCAAUUACAUCUGCAAAAACCCUCUUUCCAACGCCAGAGUCACGGGUUUCUAGUGGACAUACAUUUUCUUGGGGGGUAGGAGGGGCACCAUUCAGUUCAUUACAGGUUAGACGGCACCUUCAGAGAAAUUUGAAAACAAUUUAAGUUGGUCACUUAAAUUGGUUCUGUGAUCCAUUGGCUUUGCCGUCUCUCAUCAUGUACCUCACGUGGCUUUUUAGGGUUUAACUAAAGGCCCAGUUGGAGAUGAAACCAAGCCAUCCUUUGUGGAACUGAGAGGAGCAGCGGGGCACCCAUGCCUCCCUCCAUCCCAGGCAGCAGCUCUUCCGGAGAGUGGUAGCAAGCCCUUUAUCUCCCUCCCUCUCCCUCCAAUGACCACGUCAAGGCUGAGCUUCUGGGCAAAGCGCUCCAGCACUGAGAUCAGACGUGUCUGAGGCAGCGAUGACCAGGGUCAGGUGCUUCAGAGUCUGAUAAGUGAGCAACCUUGGAAGGAACCGAGUGUCUCAACCCUGCCAGCUCAAAGCACAUUACCCGUCCACGUGGACACCAGGGCAUCAGAGAGGUGCCCCAUCUGUUGCAACAGAGCACCUGGUAUGCUUGUGUGCAUGGAUUUGUGUGUGGUAUGUGUGUGCAUGUGCACACGUGUGCAGGGAUGUGCGAUUGUUUUAUGGAGAUUGCUGUGAUCCAUGCAGGACUUUGCUGGCUGGCCCUACCCUGUCUUUUAAACCCCUCCCCACCUACUUACAGAGCUUGGCUGGGGAUGACCCCAGUGUCUUUGGGAGGGGUGGCUCUAAGGUGUAGUAUUUGUGACAUGGGGCUGCCAGAUGGGUUUUGUGGUCCAUUGGCUUUGCCGUCCCCCAUCACAUACCUCGUGGAGCUUUUGAAAUAGGCUCAUACUUGGUUCAGCUCUCAGGGAGGCCAGACAGGUGAUACCAAGAAAUGAGAAUAAAUGGACUUCCGCAUGUAGGAGGAGUGAGUACAGCAUCAGGACAUGAGCCGGGAUAGGAUCUGGCAGAUGGCAGAGGUGGAGUGGCAGCAUGCCUCUUUCCCCUUCCACCUGGAGUAGCUGGCCUGUUCCCAGUCUGUACCCUGGGCCCUAUGUAGGGGUUCUUUUAAAAACGGAUCUGCAGUCAGUCAACUUGAUCUCAUAGACAUAUACAGAACACUCCACCCAAAAGCAGCCAAGUAUACUUUUCCAAUGCACACAGAAUAUUCUUCAGAAUAGACCACAUAUUAGGCCAUAAAGCAAGCCUUAACAGAAUCCAAAGCAUCAAAAUACUACAAAGCAUCUUUUCUGACCAUUAAGCCAUGAAAGUAGAAAUCGAUAACGGAAAAAAGCAAGUAAAAAAAACAAUCAAACACGUGGAAACUGAACAACACCUUGCACAAACAUGACCGCGUUAUAGGGGAAAUUAAGGACAGAAUAAAGAAAUUCGCAGAAUCAAAUGAGAGUAAAAACACAUCCUACCAGAACCUUUGGGACACAGCAAAAGCAGUGCUCAGAGGUUAACUUACAGCAAUAAAUGCACUCAUCCAAAAAGAAGAAAGGACCAAAAUGAAAACAUUAACCCUACAAUUCGAACAAAGAGAAAAAGAGCAGCAAUAGAAGCCCUUAGGCACGAGAAGAAAGCAAAUAAUAAAAAUUAGAGCAGAAUUAAAUGAAACAGAAAAACAGUUGAAAGAGUUAACAAGACCAAAAGCUGGUUCUUUGAAAAGAUUAACAAAAUUGAUAAACCAUUGGCCAAACCAACAAAAGAGAAACAGGAGAGGAAGCAAAUAACCCAAGUAAGAAGUGAGACGGGUGAUAUCACAACAGACCCAGCUGAAAUGAAAAGAAUCAUAACAGAAUACUAUGAAAAACUAUACUCUAACAAAUUUGGAAACCUAGAGGAAAUGGAAAAAUUUCUAGAAGCACACUGCCUACCUGUCAUGGAUUGAAUUAUGUCCCCCCAAAAAUGUGUAUAUCAAUUUGGCUGGGCCAUGAUUCCCAGUAUUGUGUGGUUGUCCUCCAUUUUGUGAUUGUAAUUUGUAGAUGUUAUCAGUUAAUACAAAGUCAUACUGGAGUAGGUUGGGUCCUAAACCCAAAGACUAGUAUCCUUAUAAGGGGCCCUGGUUGUACAAUGGUUAAGUGCUCAGCUGCUAACCAAAAAGUUGGUGGUUUGAACCCACCCAGCGGCUGCACGGGAGAAAACCUGAAGAUCUGCUCUUGUAAAGGUCACAGACAAGAAAACCCUGUGGGGCAGUUCUCCUCUGUCACGUGGGAUUGCUCUGAGCCGAAAAAGACUUGACAGCACCCAACAACAGUGUCCUUAUAAAAAAAGAGAAGACACACAGGGAAGAACCUCAUGUGACAAUGGAGGAAAGAUCAGAGGAAUGAAUCUACAAGCCAAGGAUUGUUGGCAACCACCAGAAGCUGGAAGAGACAAGAAAGGAUUUUCCCCUAGAGUCUUCAGAGGGAGUGUGGCCCUGUUGACACCUUGAUUUUGAACUUCUGGCCUCCAGAACUGUGAGGCACUAAAUUGCUAUUGUUUUAAGUUUGCGGUUACAGCAGUCACAGGAUACCAGUACAGCUCCCCAUGCCUUGCCCCCCUUGCAGGUGUAUCAACCUCUUGCCCCCGGCCUUUAUGUGCAGAUGAGCCAGGCUUGGCAUGCAGGUUCCCUGUCUGGGUAAUCAUGGUGUAAUUAGCCCACAAUUCUGAGAUGUGUGUUUUUUAUAACUAGUAGCACAUCUGGGAUCAGAUGCUUCUUAUCAAUGGACAGUUGUCCUCAGUUCAUUGGUGAGAGGUUUUAUUUUUCUUUGUGGCAUAUAAAAUAAAGAUGUAUCAUCGAUUCAAUGAUAUAUGGUAUAUCUCACUAUCCCUUUAUGAACUGGCCCCAGCGUUCAGCUCUGUCGAGUUGGUUAUAUUCAUGAGCCUUAUGACUCAGAACCAGAGCCCCGAACAUUAGUGAUGCAUGCUGCCAGGUGCCUGGCCCAGUCGGGAGCUGCAGACACAGGACAGCAGAGGCCCACUGAGACCACACGCUCAUCCUCAUGCAGAUGGCUGGGGCUCCUACUAGACAUUGCGAGUGGGAGAGCACAGACUCUGGAGAUGUCAUGUUUGGAGACAGGACAUCUGCUUGUUGGGCCAACAGACUUUCAGCGGUUCCUUGCCCAGCUCCCUCUCCUCAUGACUAAUCAGAAUCUUGGUAAGUGCAGGGAAAUAUGAGAAAAACCCGUCUUACCCAGCUGGCAUGUUCAUCAUAUUGACUGCAAGGGAAGAGAGCAUGCCAGGUGCUGCACGUUUGCCGUGUCCGGGGGGUAAAUGAACACUUUCUUUUAUAAGGCUCAGCACAAAGCUGGUUCCUAUGAGACAGAGGUUAAAGAUGUCCCCAAUGUCCAACUUCUGCAAGCCCCUGUCCCACUCCAUCACCUCUAACAUCAGCUACUCCCUCUCCCCUCAGUAUUCUCGCUCUUGUCUUUGGGUUGGGUAAUUUGCUGCGCAGUCUCACAAACCAUACUUACAGUUAAGUGGCUUAUGCGGGAUGUAACAGUGCAAGCCGGGAUCAGGAUCAACUUGGAAGUAACGGGAGCAACUCAGGAUACAGUUCUUUGAUCAGAACAGCUUCUGCUCUCCCUUUGCUACCUCGGCUCUGCGUGGGGUCUUCUCAGACAAGUGUUAACAGCUCUUAGUUCCGUGGGUAGACAAGCCCCACCGCACUCGUCUGGCACUGGUCCCCUGGUUCCUGCUGUCUAGCCCACUAUCACUCUUGCUGCACUGCUGUUUCUCGCUGUCUUCGUUGUUAACAGCGCCUCUCUCAGUGUCUCCCUCUAAAACCCCUGUCAGGGAAGCUGGUUAUACAGCAAACUCCUUAUCAAUUUCAGGGCUGCCCUCCCACCAGGAAGACCACAAACUAACCAAUCCCCCGCAAGGGUUCCAUGCACCUUAUUUGCAUUAGCAGAUUAUUUGAUUCCUGCACACAGCUUGUUUGCAUAGUCCCCCCGCAAUCAUUUUGUGGAAGUUACAAGACCGUGCAUGGCUGUUGUGUGUGCCAUCGAGUCGAUUCCGGCUCAUAGCGACCCAUUAUGACAGAGUACAACUGCCCGAUUGGGUUUUCUAGGCUGUAAUCUUUACAGGAGCAGAUAGCCAGGUCUUUUCUCUCGUGAAACCACUAACUUUUCCAUUAGCAGUCAAGCACUUAACCAUUAUGCCACCUGGGCUCCCUAUGCAUGGCUAGACGGGCUAUAUUAAGUGAUUCACAGCACUGCAGGGGACACAUCCCCUGAUUGCAUGCAGUCUGCUUCAUGGUGACAGGAAGCUCUGGGCGGAGGCCCAGCUGGCAAGGCUUGGCAGGAUUCCAGGUGCCAGAGAUCAUGUAGUACGCUGGACCCUGGGCUGCCUCCUGACAGGCUGGCCCUGGGGCUCAGAGCUGCCCUGCAUGGUGGUGCACGGUGUGUUAUGGGUUGAUUUGUGCCCUCAAAAAGAUAUGUUGAAGUCCCAACCUGCCCCCCGUAUGUGUGGAUGUGACCCUACUUAGAAAUAGUGUCUUCGUAGAUGAUCAGUUAGGCUAACAAGAGGUCAUACGGAGUAGGACUAGAAGUCAUACUGGAGUCUCUUUAGGACUGGUGUCCUAUAAGAUAACAGAUACAGAGAGACACAGAGUUGCAGAGGGAAGACAGCCAUGUGACCACAGAGGCAGAGAUUGGAAUGAUGCAGACACAAACCAAGAAAUGCCUGGCGCCACCAGAAGCUGGGAGAGUCAAGAACCCUCCCCCAGAAUGAAGAACACCAAGGACACAAAGUAAUUACGAGCCGAAGGGACAGAAAGGGCCGCAUAAAGCAGAGGCUACAUUAGCCUGAGACCAGAAGAACUAGAUGGUGCCCAGCUACAACUGAGGACUGUCCUGACCGUGAAUGUAACAGAGAACCUCUGAGGGAGCAGGAGAGCAGUGGGAUGCAGACCCCAAAUUCUCAUAAAAAGACCAGACUUAAUGGUCUGACUGAGACUAGAAUGACCUCGGGGGUCAUGGCCCCCAGACCUUCUGUUGGCCCAGAACAGGAACCAUUCCCAAAGCCAACUCUUCAGACAGGGAUUGGACUGGACUAUGGGAUAGACAAUGAUACUGGUGAAGAAUGAGCUUCUUGGAUCAGGUAGACACCUGAAACUAUGUUGGCAUUUCCUGUCUGAAGGGGAGAUGAGAGCGUAGAGGGGGUUAGAAGCUGGCCGAAUGGACAUGAAAAGAAAGAGUGGAGGGAAGGAGUGUGCUGUCUCAUUAGGGGGAGAGCAAUUAGGAGUAUAUAGCAAAGUGUUCAUAAAUUUUUUAUGAGAGUCCAACUUUAACUUAAAGCACAAUAAAAAAAAAUCCUUCCCUAGAGCCUUCAGAGGGAGUGUGGCCCUGCCAACACCCUGAUUUCAGACUUCUGGUCUCCAGAACUGUGAGAAGAUAAAUCUCUGUUAUUGUUGUUGGAGCCCUGGUGGUGCAGUGUUUAAGAGCUCGGCUGCUAACUAAAAGAGGCAGUCAUUCUCCUGGUUGCUGAUGUCAGAGAGAAAACCUGCCUUAUUUUGAACAUUAAGGUGAGACUUGAAGGAUGGUUGGUUAUUGUCUAGGUGAAGAGGGAAAAGGGGAUAGGAAAUUACUGGUGCCUAGAAGGCAUUUUUUUUUUUUUUUUAGAAGGCAAGGAUGGCCAGAGCAAAAUGGCGGAGGGGUGAGUGUCACUGGCCACCGGGGAAGGUGGCAGCCAGGCCAACCACUCCCUUUGGCUUCAGUCUGUUCUCUCUUUCUGUUACCUACAUUCUUUCUUUCUGUGUCUCUCUCACACUUUCGUUCUCUCAUAUGCUUUCUCUCUCUCUGUGUCUCUGUCUUGCACACACUUUUUCUCUUUCUUUGUAUCUCUGUCACACACACAUCCACUCACUCUGUCUCUAUCUCUCUCUCACACACACCCUCUGUCUCUCACACACAAACUCUCGCUCCGUUUCCGACGGGCUCUGCAGGUGAGGCGGCCCUCAUCUUCUCGGGGUCGCCUCUGUAGACACUAAAGACUUAACAGCUGUGCGCUGUGAAGACCUAUUUCUGCUACUCCAGAGUUUGUGAAAUCUCUCACCUGCUGUGUCUCCUCCCUUUCUUUGUUCUUGUGGGUUGGGUUUAGGAAAUUCCUCAGCUAUCGUUUUCUUGAAAUCUAAAAGGUCCUUCUGCCAUGUUUAACCAGAAGUCCUCGCAGUUGACUUGAAAGGGCUAUAACACUCUUUCUCUUCAUCACUGUGGUCAGACAUAUCGUCUUGGUCAUCUCUUCUCUGAGCUCGGCAGUUGAGCUGGCCUCUUCCUGAGUCCUAGCCCAUCUCUUACCCUGCCCAGGCGGCCUUCAGCAGCAGCUCUCCUCACAAUUUUGACUCCCCCUGCUCACGAGAUCAUUUAGUCAGGGUCUUAUGUGGCAGCCCCAGGAUGGCCAAUCUGGCCUUCUCGAGGUAUCAGCUGGGGACAUGAACUUUACGAUGUCUGCGCAGACCUGGCUCAGAGUGGAUGAGGGGACAGAAGGAGACUCAAUAUCCUCUGGGACUAGUAGGCUCAAGGAAGGGCUGGGGCCGGGUAGGCGCUGAUGGGCUGAGUGGGUUCACAAACUCUGGAGUAGCAGAAAUAAGUCUUCACAGCACACAGUGGUUAAGUCUUCAGUGUCCACAGAGAAGGUGAGGAAGAUAUGGGGAAUGUCUGCCCUACGUGCAUGGAUCUGUGCCAUGUGUCCUGAAUGGGAAACUUCAGAAACAAGGUCCCUGCACCCAUGGAGCCCUGACCACCUGCAGAUGGCAGCAGCCACUGGCUGCUGUGUCAGGCAGCACAGAUAGAGGGGCCUCUGGGAUGCCUGGGGGGGUCACAGGGGCUGUGGGGGGCUGUGGGGGGCUGUGGGCUAGUUUGGGCAGAUGGGCUUGGACCAGAGGGGACAGUCAGGCAGUGGGGGGAGGGGGUGCUGGGUGGGACUCGCUGUGGGUGCCCUCAGGAUCUCCAGGCAUGGGCCAGUGCUGAUCACGCCCACCCUGGAAGAUGGCAGGCAUGGAUUUGUGUGAACCUGGCCUGGCCCAGUUCUCGUCUGAGCCCACAUACCAGCUGAGGACAGACAGGGAUGAGGACCCUCCCCGGUGGUGGGCUGUUGUGGGCGUUUGGGACAAGUCAGCUCUCAACAAUGACUCCAAUGGAAACAUGUUUGUCAUGACUUAUUUCCAUGUGGCUCCGAGGUCCAGACUGAGAGCUGACCUGGACUUGAGGGUCCCAUGGACAGAGUGUAGUUGGAGUCUAUGUGUGAGCUCCCGACCUCCAGGCCAGGUUGUGCAUGUGGGGUUGGGAGGGUACAAAAGGCCUGAGGGAUGUCACCCCCAUUACUGACGGACCACGGAACUAACUGCUUUGCUCUCAAGAGGGGUGCCCUUUCUGAUGCUGUGGGAGGGGUUACCGGCAGCCCCCUGGGGUCUGGAAGACAUCACGCACUCGCUGUAACCUGGUCGCAUGGAUUGGUUUCAGUUUGCUCCGCUUCUGCCCUGUGGUGGUGGGCAGCAGAGUGUCUAGAUGGCUUUGUCCCUUACCCUGGACGCAAGGCCCUGGACAAGGACUUUUGCUUAGUGGCAGUCCUCGAGCAGCCUGGAGGGAUGAGGUGAGGAUGUUGCCACCAGCAGGGAAGGCAUCCCCAUGCAAGGCCGCUGUCCUGGGUCUACCUGUGAUGGUCCUAGCUGGGGUGAGUCCUGCCAAUCAAACUGGCUUAUUGGACCUCUACCUGUUCAACGUGGAAAAACAGGAAAGUAAAGCAGGAGUCCCUGGCAGGUGCAAAUGGUUAACACCCCCAAAUGCUAAUCAAAAGGUUGGAGAUUUGAGUCCACCCAGAGACACUUCAGAAGAAAUGCCUGGUGAUCUGCUUCUGAAAAAUCAGCCAGUGAAAAACCCUGUAUCCUCUGACACAUACGGGGUCACCAUGAGUCAGGGUCCACUUGACAGCAACAGGUUUAAAAAAGAUCAGCAAAAGAUAAAUCCUGCUAUCCCAUGUCACAGGGCGAACAGUUGUCAGCAUUUGCUCAUGUGGAUAGCUAGGCAUUUGGGACAAUCUUUUUCCCUUUCAUUGAAAAAGAACUCCUACGUUUAAAAAAAAAGUUAGGUUUUUAACUCAGCAAUAUCUUUACAUUUUCUCAGUAAACUGCUCUGUAUGCUGUAAGUAAACUUGUUAAAAGCUGUGGUGUAGUUCUCGUGACAACGGGAACUCCUUCUUCCCCAGAAGGCCCUCUGUGGCUUGGCAGCCCAGUGUUGGAAGAGGCCCCGCCUCGCCCUCUCUGGAGAAGAACUCUGGGGUACGUGGGACUUGCGCAGUGGGGGUCAGGCGGCAGCUGGACUCUGUGUGCAGUCCUGGCUGAGUCCUUCGUGGCUGAAUUGACCCCAGUGAGGGCCAGUGGCGGUAGCUUAACAUGCCGAGGCCAAUCCCUCACUCGUAGGUGGUUU